GGCGCGGUCGCAUAACCGGAGAGUGCAUCAGGUUCGCCCUGAAGACGCGGGGUUCAAGUCCGGCCCGCGCCU
rnacentral:tRNA from 1 species